rnacentral:rRNA from 1 species
UGGGGAAUUUUGCGCAAUGGGGGAAACCCUGACGCAGCAACGCCGCGUGGAGGAUGAAGUCCUUCGGGACGUAAACUCCUUUCGAUCGGGACGAUUAUGACGGUACCGGAAGAAGAAGCCCCGGCUAACUUCGUGCCAGCAGCCGCGGUAAUACGAGGGGGGCGAGCGUUGUUCGGAAUUAUUGGGCGUAAAGGGUGCGUAGGCGGUUUUGUAAGUCUUAUGUGAAANNNAUGGGCUCAACUCAUAGACUGCAUGAGAAACUGCAGGGCUCGAGUAUGGGAGAGGUGAGUGGAAUUUCCGGUGUAGCGGUGAAAUGCGUAGAUACCGGAAGGAACACCUGUGGCGAAAGCGGCUCNCUGGACCAUAACUGACGCUGAUGCACGAAAGCUAGGGGAGCAAACAGGAUUAGAUACCCUGGUAGUCCUAGCCCUAAACCAUGAUUGCUUGGUGUGACGGGUACCCAAUCCCGCCGUGCCGUAGCUAACGCGUUAAG